UCCCUGAUGGCUCGGCGGUAAAGAACCUGCCUGCAAUGCAGGAGACGCAGGUUCGAUCCCUGGGUUGGGAA
rnacentral:tRNA from 1 species